rnacentral:tRNA from 1 species
GUCCUCGUAGUAUAUUUCAUUACUUUGGUCUUGUAAACCAAAAAUGGCGGACCCCUCCCCCUAGGACA